CGAUCUUCGCCGUCGCCGUCGCCGGUGAUUUAUUAGGGUUUAGAUGGCCAAAAUUCCGGUUGAAAACAUCUGGCCGUUUGUGUAAGGGGAGCAUGAUAUAUCGACGGACC